rnacentral:rRNA from 1 species
CCUACGGGAGGCUGCAGUAGGGAAUUUUGCGCAAUGGGCGAAAGCCUGACGCAGCAACACCGCGUGAAUGUUAAGCCCUUCGGGGUGUAAAGUUCUGUCAAUAGGGACGAAUUUUGACUGUACCUAUAAAGGAAGCACCGGCUAACUCCGUGCCAGCAGCCGCGGUAAUACGGGGGGUGCAAGCUUUGUCCGGAAUCAUUGGGCGUAAAGCGUUCGUCGGCGGCAAGGUAAGUCUGAUGUUAAAGCCCGGGGCUCAACUCCGGUUCGGCAUUGGAUACUAUCUAGCUAGAAUGUAGUAGAGGUAAAGGGAAUUCCUGGUGUAGCGGUGAAAUGCGUAGAUAUCAGGAGGAACAUCGGUGGCGUAAGCGCUUUACUGGGCCGUAAUUGACACUGAGGAACGAAAGCCGGGGUAGCAAAUGGGAUUAGAUACCCGGGUAGUC